rnacentral:misc_RNA from 1 species
GUUUCUCGUUUCCCGCCAUGGAAGCAAUGGAAAUCGACGCAGAGAAAAAUCUUCAGAGAAAGCAAUCGACCUAUCUCUCCUUGGAUGAGACGUUUGAGAUUCAGAAAGAAACAUACAGAGGCCAGCAAUACAGCCAAAUUUACUUUGCUCGUCUCCACUUGAUGAGAACUCUGCUCUAUUCUCUUGUUCCGCAUUGGAAAUCCCAUUUAAAAGUUUGUACAGUUUUGGGAUUGGAAGAAGAGAAGGAAUGCAUCAUUGUUGGAACUCUGUAUAAGCACAUGAAGCUUAAACCCUGCAUUCUUGAUGAGUACUCUAAGGAGAGAUCUGCAGUGCCACUGGUCAAGCCUCACAAUUUUUUGCACCUGGAUGAUCAUUUGGUAUUGGAAGAUGAGAGUGGAAGAGUUAAGCUUGGAGGAGACAUGCUUUCACCUUCUUCAUAUGUCACAGGUGUUGUUGUUGCUUUGCAUGGAAAAGAAACUGGUUCUGGUGACUUCUUGGUUCUUGAUGUCCUUGAAGCUGGCCUGCCACCACAGAUAGAGCUGCCACUUCAGUCAAGAGAAGACAAGUAUGUUGUUUUCGUUUCUGGGUUGAAUGUUGGGAGCAGCACAUCUAACCCCCUUCAAUUUCAGCUUCUUGUUGAUCAUAUAACAGGACAUCUGGGAGAUGAGAAGGAACAAGGUAUUGCAUCACAGAUAGUUCAUGUCGUGAUUGCAGGAAAUUCAGUUGAAAUUCCCAGUGGACUUCUUAAUGGACAGAAUUUGGCGUCAAAGGAUCAAUCAAGACUAUCUGAGCCAGUCAAAGAGCUUGAUAUAUUGUUGUCUCAGAUUGCUGCAGGUGUGCCUUUGGAUAUCAUGCCUGGACCCAAUGACCCAGCAAAUUUUUCCUUACCUCAGCAGCCUCUGCACAGAUGCCUUUUCCCAGGAUCAGCAGCUUAUAACACUUUUAGGUCUUGUACUAAUCCUCAUUGCUUUGAGCUUGAUAACAUCAGAUUUCUUGGAACGUCGGGUCAGAAUAUUGAUGAUCUGGAGAAGUAUUCAGAGGCAAAGGAUAAGCUUGAAUUUAUGGAAAGGACAUUAAAGUGGAGGCAUCUGGCACCAACAGCACCUAAUACUCUCGGUAGAAAUAAUAUAUCAUUCUAUAAAUUUGUUCUAUUAUUCUUUUACUCAUCUAAUUUGCUUGGUUAUUUAUUUUCUAUUUUGUUAGGUUAUCUUGGUUCCUUGAAAUAUUAGAUAACACAAUAUGCAUAAAUAAAUAUCUGUGAUCAAAUAUGAUUUCUUUUUGAGCUCAUCUUCAAUGAUCCACUGCCAUCUAUGACUUUCAGGGUGUUAUCCUUUCACCGAUAGGGAUCCUUUCCUGAUUGAGAGCUGUCCUCAUGUAUAUUUUGUUGGUAAUCAGGAUAAAUAUGGAACUCGUGAGUUAAGGGGUAUGGACUUCUUGUUGACUGACAACUAUUCGAUGAAACCUUUCUUAGAAGUUAUCGGGAAAAAUCUAGUUUGUUUAUUUUAUUUCAGAUAAAAGCCAGUUUACUGAUAGUCUAAAAUGCAGGUUCAGAAGGCCAGUUGGUAAGACUCCUUUCCAUUCCAAAAUUCUGUGAGACUGGAGUUGCUGUCAUGCUUAACAUGAAAAGUCUUGAAUGCCACACUCUUAGUUUUGGGACUCAAUUUGGCUCAUAAGGACAUGGUAAUGGCUAUCUGAUGGCUUCCUCCUGGUUGAUAGUCUCUAGCUUGGAGAAAAUUUGCAAAUUUAAGCUUUGAGAAUUUUGGUGAGCCUUCUGGUGAGUUGCAGUUCUUAAGAAGCUUGCAUUUGACAGCAAGGAAACUGGAAAUCUGUGAAAGUUCCCCAAAAGAGAUUUUCUAAGUGUACCAACUAGACUAACUUUAUUUGGUCAAUUUCGCCAUUAAUGUAAUACUAACAUUUAUGAGAUGUGUCAGUUGGGAACAUACAGCCAAAGGUUUUUGUUUAUUUAUUUUCUUAUCAUUUGGCUGUUGCAGUGUGGCGGUUCAGUUCUCUAAUUCAUGAGUCUCUUCCUCCGUGAAAUGAGCUCUGGCCUGAGAUUUGAUACAUUUAUUUAUUCCCAUAAACAUUUAUAAUUCUG